rnacentral:rRNA from 1 species
GGAAAAGAAACCAACAGGGAUUGCCUUAGUAACGGCGAGUGAAGCGGCAAAAGCUCAAAUUUGAAAUCUGGCACCUUCGGUGUCCGAGUUGUAAUUUGAAGAAGGUAACUUUGGAGUUGGCUCUUGUCUAUGUUCCUUGGAACAGGACGUCACAGAGGGUGAGAAUCCCGUGCGAUGAGAUGCCCAAUUCUAUGUAAAGUGCUUUCGAAGAGUCGAGUUGUUUGGGAAUGCAGCUCUAAGUGGGUGGUAAAUUCCAUCUAAAGCUAAAUAUUGGCGAGAGACCGAUAGCGAACAAGUACAGUGAUGGAAAGAUGAAAAGAACUUUGAAAAGAGAGUGAAAAAGUACGUGAAAUUGUUGAAAGGGAAGGGCUUGAGAUCAGACUUGGUAUUUUGCGAUCCUUUCCUUUUUGGUUGGGUUCUCCGCAGCUUACUGGGCCAGCAUCGGUUUGGACGGUAGGAUAAUGAUUAAGGAAUGUGGCUCUGCUUCGGUGGAGUGUUAUAGCCUUGGUUGAUGCUGCCUGUCUAGACCGAGGACUGCGUCUUUUGACUAGGAUGUUGGCAUAAUGAUCUUAAGCCACCC